rnacentral:rRNA from 1 species
GCUCGAGUGGCGAACGGGUGAGUAACACGUGAGUAACCUGCCCUUGACUUUGGGAUAACUUCAGGAAACUGGGUCUAAUACCGGAUAGGAGCUCCUGCUGCAUGGUGGGGGUUGGAAAGUUUCGGCGGUUGGGGAUGGACUCGCGGCUUAUCAGCUUGUUGGUGGGGUAGUGGCUUACCAAGGCUUUGACGGGUAGCCGGCCUGAGAGGGUGACCGGCCACAUUGGGACUGAGAUACGGCCCAG